UUGGUUAAGCUAAUAAGAGCACACGGAGGAUGCCUAGGCGCCAGGAGCCGACGAAGGACGUGGCGAACAACGAAACUGCCUCGGGGAGCUGUAAGCAAGCUUUGAUCCGGGGGUGUCCGAAUGGGGAAACCCAGCUGUGGUAAUUCGCAGUUACUCAUUUCUGAAUACAUAGGAAAUGUAGAGGCAGACCAGGGGAACUGAAACAUCUAAGUACCCUGAGGAAGAGAAAACAAUAGUGAUUCCGUCAGUAGCGGCGAGCGAACGCGGAACAGCCUAAACCAAGGGGCUUGCCCCUUGGGGUUGUGGGACGUCUCACAUGGAGUUACAAAGGAAUAUGGUAGGUGAAGAGGUCUGGAAAGGCCCGCGAUAGAGGUAAAAGCCCUGUAGCCUAAACUGUGUUCUCUCCGAGACGGAUCCCGAGUAGUGCGGGGCACGUGAAACCCCGUAUGAAUCCAGCAGGACCAUCUGCUAAGGCUAAAUACUACCUGGCGACCGAUAGUGAAACAGUACCGUGAGGGAAAGGUGAAAAGCACCCCGGAAGGGGAGUGAAAUAGAACCUGAAACCGUGUGCUUACAAAAAGUCAGAGCCCUAUUACUGGGUGAUGGCGUGCCUUUUGUAGAAUGAACCGGCGAGUUACGUUUAACAUGCAAGGUUAAGUCGAGAAGACGGAGCCGCAGCGAAAGCGAGUCUGAAUAGGGCGAAUGAGUAUGUGGACGUAGACCCGAAACCGUGUGAUCUACCCCUGUCCAGGGUGAAGGUGCGGUAACACGCACUGGAGGCCCGAACCCACGCAUGUUGAAAAAUGCGGGGAUGAGGUGGGGGUAGCGGAGAAAUUCCAAUCGAACUCGGAGAUAGCUGGUUCUCCCCGAAAUAGCUUUAGGGCUAGCCUCGGUGAAUGGAGUGGUGGAGGUAGAGCACUGAUUGGGUGCGGGGCCCGCAAGGGUUACCAAGCUCAGUCAAACUCCGAAUGCCAUUAACUUCUUGCCGGGAGUCAGACAGUGAGUGCUAAGAUCCAUUGUCAAAAGGGAAACAGCCCAGACCAUCAGCUAAGGUCCCCAAGUGUGUGUUAAGUGGGAAAGGAUGUGGAGUUGCACAGACAACCAGGAUGUUGGCUUAGAAGCAGCCACCAUUGAAAGAGUGCGUAAUAGCUCACUGGUCGAGUGACUCUGCGCCGAAAAUGUAACGGGGCUAAACACACCACCGAAGCUAUGGCUAGAUGCUUUGCAUCUGGGGUAGGGGAGCGUUGUAUGUGGGUUGAAGGUGUACCGUAAGGAGCGCUGGACAGCAUACAAGUGAGAAUGCCGGUAUGAGUAACGAAAAGAUCAGUGAGAAUCUGAUCCGCCGAAAGCCCAAGGUUUCCUGAGGAAGGCUCGUCCGCUCAGGGUAAGUCGGGACCUAAGGCGAGGCCGAAAGGCGUAGUCGAAGGACAACAGUUUGAAAUUACUGUACCACCGUAAUCCGCUAUGAGCGAUGGGGUGACGCAGGAGGGUAGUGACGCGGACUGAUGGAUGUGUCCGUCUAAGCAGUGAGGCUGAUGUGUAGGCAAAUCCGCACAUCAUUAAGGCUGGGCUGUGAUGGGGAGCGAAAAUUAUAGUAGCGAAGGUCAUGAUCUCACACUGCCAAGAAAAGCCUCUAGCCAGGAGAAGGUGCCCGUACCGCAAACCGACACAGGUAGGCGAGAAGAGAAUUCUAAGGCGCGCGGAAGAACUCUCGUUAAGGAACUCGGCAAAAUGACCUCGUAACUUCGGGAGAAGAGGUGCCUCGGUAGGGUGAAUAGCCCGAGGGGGCCGCAGUGAAAAGGCCCAAGCGACUGUUUAGCAAAAACACAGGUCUGUGCGAAGCCGCAAGGCGAAGUAUACGGGCUGACGCCUGCCCGGUGCUGGAAGGUUAAGGGGAGUGGUUAGGGGCAACCCGAAGCUGUGAACCGAAGCCCCAGUAAACGGCGGCCGUAACUAUAACGGUCCUAAGGUAGCGAAAUUCCUUGUCAGGUAAAUUCUGACCCGCACGAAUGGCGUAACGACUUGGGCGCUGUCUCAACGAGAGAUCCGGUGAAAUUUUAAUACCUGUGAAGAUGCAGGUUACCCGCGACAAGACGGAAAGACCCCAUGGAGCUUUACUGCAGCUUGAUAUUGAAUUUGGGUACGAUCUGUACAGGAUAGGUGGGAGCCGUUGAGGCAGGAGCGCAAGCUUCUGCGGAGGCGCCGUUGGGAUACCACCCUGAUCGUAUCUAGGUUCUAACCUAGUGCCCUAAGCGGGUACGGGGACCGUGUCAGGCGGGCAGUUUGACUGGGGCGGUCGCCUCCUAAAGAGUAACGGAGGCGUUCAAAGGUUCCCUCAGAAUGGUUGGAAAUCAUUCGCAGAGUGCAAAGGCAUAAGGGAGCUUGACUGCGAGACCUACAAGUCGAGCAGGGACGAAAGUCGGACUUAGUGAUCCGGUGGUACCGCAUGGAAGGGCCAUCGCUCAACGGAUAAAAGCUACCCUGGGGAUAACAGGCUUAUCUCCCCCAAGAGUCCACAUCGACGGGGAGGUUUGGCACCUCGAUGUCGGCUCAUCGCAUCCUGGGGCUGAAGUAGGUCCCAAGGGUUGGGCUGUUCGCCCAUUAAAGCGGUACGCGAGCUGGGUUCAGAACGUCGUGAGACAGUUCGGUCCCUAUCUGUCGUGGGCGCAGGAAAUUUGAGAGGAGCUGUCCUUAGUACGAGAGGACCGGGAUGGACGUACCGCUGGUGCAUCAGUUGUUCCGCCAGGAGCAUGGCUGAGUAGCUACGUACGGACGGGAUAAGCGCUGAAAGCAUCUAAGCGUGAAGCCCCCCUCAAGAUGAGAUUUCCCAACUAGUAAGACCCCUUGAAGACGACGAGGUAGAUAGGUUGGAGGUGGAAGUGCAGCAAUGCAUGGAGCUGACCAAUACUAAUCGGUCGAGGGCUUAUCCAAAUU
rnacentral:rRNA from 1 species